rnacentral:rRNA from 1 species
AUGGGUACAAUGGCUGGUGCUAUGGAUAAAUUCGACCAGAUGGUUGGCAUACCAAUUGAAAGAAGAAGCCUUGCUGAGUUUUUCUACAUCAUACAACCUGCCAUCGACUCUGAUAGGCUCCUUCUGCAGAAAGGUUCUAAUCCACAUCCAUUGUACCAAGCACCAGUAUCUGGACAUUGCAAAGGUGAUGAAGGGGGAGGGGUGUCUGUACAAUGUCCUGUGACAUGGUUCAUGUGUAUUGGUUGUCUUUUGUCUUUUGAGUUAAUGCUAGAAUUAUUUGUUGCAGCUAACCUGGGGUCUUAUGCAGUUUUGUAA